AACAAAGAUAGACUUUUUUUUAUAUAAAUUUCACAUACAAUAUGCAACAACUACUUGUGCUAAAAGUCUUAGUACGAAGUCGCAUGCCGAUGAUGCAACCAUCUAUAAAUUUCAGUUUGAUCUUAACCUCCCGAGGAUGUUAAAAUAAAAAAAUUAAAAGGUUACAUAUUACAUUUUGGUAUAUAAAUUUUAAUGUAAAGUAUAAAGGAAUUGUUGAGGCGGGAACUAUUGUGAAAAGCAAGAAGAAAUUGUUGAGACGAAGAUUGUUGUUGUUGCUCUGCAAAAAACUUUUGUUGUCAUUCAACAUUUAAUUUUUAACCUGCUACUUGUAUCA